GAUAGAACAAUGUAGGCAAGGGAAGUCGGCAAAAUGGAUCCAUAACCUCGGGAAAAGGAUUGGCUCUAAGGGCUGCGCCCGAGGGUCCCAAUCCCGAACCUGUCGCUUGUCGGCAGACUGCUCGAGCUGCUCUCAAGGCGAAAGCGGGUCGAUACGUGUCGACCGGGGAACGGAUUGGGAACAGCCUCUUCAGAGUCCUUCCCUAGGCGUUGAACAAUCGACUCAGAACUAGUACGGACAAGGGGAAUCUAACUGUUUAAUUAAAACAAAGCAUUGCGCGGAUGCUCACGCAAUGUGAUUUCUGCCCAGUGCUCUGAAUGUCAAAGUGAAGAAAUUCAACCAAGCGCGGGUAAACAGCGGGAGUAACUAUGACUCUCUUAAUGUAGCCAAAUGCCUCGUCAUCUAAUUAGUGAUGCGCAUGAAUGGAUUAACGAGAUUCCCACUGUCCCUGUUUACUAUCCAGCGAAACCACAGACAAGGGAACGGGCUUGGGGGAAUUAGUAAGGAAAGAAGACCCUGUUGAGCUUAACUCUAGUCCGACUUUGUGAAAUUACUUAAGAGGUGUAGGAUAAGUGGGAGCCUUAACCGGUGAUAGUGAAAUACCACUACUUUUAACAUUAUUUUACUUAUUCCAUGAAUCAGAAGUGGGGCUACGACCCUCUUUUUGGACCCAAGUUUGGCUGGGGCGGCAUAUCUGUUAAAAGAUAACGCAAGUGUCCUAAGAUGAGCUCAACGAGAAUAGAAAUCUCGUAUGGAACAAAAGGGUAAAAGCUCGUUUAAUUCUAGUUUCCAGUAUGAAUACAAACCGCAAAAGCAUAGCUUAUUGAUCCUUUAGACCUUUAGAAUUUGAAACUAGAGGUGUCAGAAAAGUUACCACAGGGAUAACUGGCUUGUUCUAGCCAAGCGUUCAUAGCAACGUUGCUUUUUGAUCCUUCGAUGUUGGCUUUUCCUAUCAUUGUGAAGCAGAAUUCACCAAGUGUUGGAUUGUUCACCCACCAAUAGGGAAUAUGAGCUAGGUUUAGACAGUUAUGAGACAGGUUAGUUUUACCCUACUGAUGAUUGUGUUGCAAUGCUAAUUCAACCUAGUACGAGAGGAACAGUUGAUUCGCAUAACUGGUCAUUGCGCUUGGUUGAAAAGCCAGUGGUGCGAAGCUACUGUGCGUUGGAUUAUGACUGAACGGCUCUAAGUCAGAAUCUGGGCCAGAAUCGACGCAUCAUCCAUCGCUCAUUUGCCAACUAGUAGUAGGGGCCCUCCAGCCCCCAAAAGCAUGUUUCAUUGGCUAAGCCCUCACGGUGAACGAGCCGCGCAGGCCGCCUUGAAUUACAAUUUCCAUCGGGCGGCGGACUAAAUCCUUUGCAGAAGACUUAAAUACGUGAUAGGGUAUUGUAAGUGGCAGAGUGGCCUUGCUAUCACAAUCCACUAAGAUUUAGCCCUUCGUCGCUCUAAUUC
rnacentral:ncRNA from 1 species